ACUGAAAUGAUGACUUAAUUCUUUUGUCGGAUACCCCUUCACUCUCCAAUGAGUGAGACCCACCUUCUGACCUGC
ensembl:snoRNA